UACGAAGGGGGCUAGCGUUGCUCGGAAUCACUGGGCGUAAAGGGUGCGUAGGCGGGGCUUUAAGUCAGGGGUGAAAUCCUGGAGCUCAACUCCAGAACUGCCUUUGAUACUGGCGACCUUGAGUCCGGGAGAGGUGAGUGGAACUGCGAGUGUAGAGGUGAAAUUCGUAGAUAUUCGCAAGAACACCAGUGGCGAAGGCGGCUCACUGGCCCGGUACUGACGCUGAGGUGCGAAAGCGUGGGGAGCAAACAGG
rnacentral:rRNA from 1 species